rnacentral:rRNA from 1 species
UACGUAGGGUGUGAGCGUUGUCCGGAAUUAUUGGGCGUAAAGAGCUUGUAGGCGGUUUGUCGCGUCUGCUGUGAAAAUCCGGGGCUCAACCCCGGACUUGCAGUGGGUACGGGCAGACUAGAGUGUGGUAGGGGAGACUGGAAUUCCUGGUGUAGCGGUGAAAUGCGCAGAUAUCAGGAGGAACACCAAUGGCGAAGGCAGGUCUCUGGGCAGUUACUGACGCUGAGGAGCGAAAGCAUGGGUAGCGAACAGGAUUAGAUA